UAUCCCAAUGAACUCCGGAGGGAUGCGGAUGCGACAAUGAGAGCAACACGCGGUCGCUCAGGAGCGGCCCCGGCUUCCAGACGCCUGCUCUCCUCGGACCACGCCCAAGAGCGCCUGGUGCCCGGGGUGUCUUCGGAGCCUGAAGUUUUGCUCCCCAUUUGUUCACCUGUGGCGUAGACUGUUGCCCAGAAGAAAAGAUGUUUGGUUUUCACAAGCCAAAGAUGUACCGAAGUAUAGAGGGCUGCUGUAUUUGCAGAGCUAAGUCCUCCAGUUCUCGAUUCACUGACAGUAAACGCUAUGAAAAGGACUUCCAGAGCUGUUUUGGGUUGCAUGAAACUCGUUCGGGAGACAUCUGCAAUGCCUUUGUCCUGCUUGUGAAAAGAUGGAAGAAGUUGCCAGCAGGAUCAAAAAAAAAAAACUGGAAUCAUGUGGUAGAUGUAAGGGCAGGACCCAGCCUAAAGACUACAUUGAAACCAAAGAAAGUGAAAACUCUGUCUGGAAACAGGAUAAAAAGCUACCAGAUCAGUAAACUGCAGAAGGAAUUUAAACGUCAUAAUUCUGAUGCUCACAGUACCACCUCAAGUGCCUCCCCAGCUCAGUCUCCGUGUUAUAGUAACCAGUCAGAUGAUGGCUCAGAUACAGAGAUGGCUUCUGGUUCUAAUAGAACACCAGUUUUUUCCUUUUUAGAUCUCACAUACUGGAAAAGACAGAAAAUAUGUUGUGGGAUUAUCUACAAAGGCCGUUUUGGGGAAGUCCUCAUCGACACACAUCUAUUCAAGCCUUGCUGCAGCAAUAAGAAAGCAGCUGCUGAGAAGCCGGAGGAGCAGGGCCCAGAGCCUCUGCCCAUCUCCACUCAGGAGUGGUGACUGAGGUUUUUAUGUAGAAGGGGAACAAAAAAUGAUUUAAGUUUUGAAAAGACCACAAAGCAACAAGCUGGCCCUCCUAUUUUUAACUUGGAUACCUGCUAUUCUGCCAAAAGACAACUUCUAGAAUAGUUUCGAAUGGGUUAUUUUCCCCCCAGUUCCACAACCUCUGAAGCCAGUGUCUAGCUUACUAAAAAAAGAAUUGUAUAUAAUAUUUAAGAUGCUGAGUAUUGCAUAGGAAAGCUGAAUGCUGCUGUAAAGUGCUCUUUAAGUCUUCUUUUUUUUUUAAAUCCCCUUCUAAUGAAUGAAACUAAGGGGAAUUUCAGGGGACAGUGAUGGGAUUUGUUGUAUGAUAAACAGUAUGUAGUUUUAGUCUUUCUAUAUUGAGAAGCAGUGGUUGGGGCAUAUUUUAAGAUGGCUGACUACACUUGUUUUCCCUCAUGAUAAUAAAGUUGUCAUAACUCAGCAACACAGACUUGCUCCUAGAGGUAAUUGUUAAGAAUUUUGAAAUAUUAAGGUCUUGCCAAGGUUCUGAUGAUUCAAACCUGUACUACUGAUUAUUAAGCAGGACAGACUGAGCUUUCUGUUAGAAAUACCUUGAAGGAAAAAGUAAUUUCUAAAUAUACAGAGAGGUCAACUUGACUGUAUAUUUUGCAUCCUGUGCCACCUCCCUUCAUAUUAAUAUUUGAUACAGAUUUUAAUUUAUGUGAAAUUUCUAAAGCAGAAUGAAAGCUCUUUUGGGGGGAAUGGCAAAUCUUUGGGAUAGGUGAGACCCGAGGUGAAUAGUACCAAAGCGUUACCCUACGGUAGACAGCACACUUGAUUAAAAAUGUUAAACUAUCUGAGAAAUAAAAUGUUCAAGUCUUCAAGAUGGGACAAAACAAAGGUUGAUGCUUUUGGGGGCGUAUUUUCUUAGAGGGCUUGCCAAGUAUGUAAAUAAUUGACUUUGUUUGUGUUACAUGACUGUUGAUGACUUCAUUGAAAAUCUGCACAAUUCAGUUUUAGCUCUGGAUUACUUCAGUUGACCUUUGUGAAGAUUUUAUCUGUGUAGAGUGGAUGUUUGACUUGUUUUAACCUAUUAGGGUUUUUAUUGUUUUUCACUCUAUAUUUAAAGUAAAAUUUACUAAAAGAAAAGAGGUGUGUGUUAAUGCUAAGUGGGUUGGUUUUGGUUUGGCUUCUGUUAUUCAGGCUUUUUGAACAUUGAAAUAUCCUGAACUUGGAGUUCUUCAAUUCUAAAAUUCUCAUUAAAAGCCUCUCACUUGAACCCAAACCAAAGUACUCUUCUUGCCUCUUUUCUAAAAGUUCAGGAGAAAAAUAUCACCAGUUCAGACUUAUUUUCAUAAUGAGGGAGGAGCAUUUGCCUCCCUUAUAAUGACAUGACUCAGUGCUUAUUUUUUAAACUGGAUUUUAAAAAUUGGAUAGUGUAACAAUAAGGAGUGAGCCACUUUUUAUGGACACCCUAUAGUUUUAUAGUUCUUACUCUAAACAUUUGAUAUUUCCUCCUUUUGGAAAAAAACCUAUAUGCUAUAAGCCACCAUAUGCAUAGACUACACAGCUGGUUGGAUCGGCUCUCUCACAGCCUUUGAGGUGAAUUACAAGAUCCCAGCCAUUAUCAUCCUCCUGAGUUAUUUUGAAAUGUUGUUUUUUUUUUUUUGGUACAUUUUGGCUGCAGUAUUGGGGGUAGAAUAUACUAUAAUAUGGAUCAUCUCUACUUCUGUAUUUAUUUAUUUAUUACUAGACCUCAACCACAGUCUUCUUUUUUCCCUUCCACCUCUCUUUGCCUGUAGGAUGUACUGUAUGUAGUCAUGUACUUUGUAUUAAUAUAUUAGAAAUCUACAGAUCUGUUUUGUACUUUUUAUACUGUUGGAUACUUAUAAUCAAAACUUUUACUAGGGUAUUGAAUAAAUUUAGUCUUAUUAGAAAAUAAAAAAA